rnacentral:rRNA from 1 species
UGGGGAAUAUUGGACAAUGGGCGAAAGCCUGAUCCAGCCAUGCCGCGUGUGUGAAGAAGGUCUUCGGAUUGUAAAGCACUUUAAGUUGGGAGGAAGGGCAGUAAGCGAAUACCUUGCUGUUUUGACGUUACCGACAGAAUAAGCACCGGCUAACUCUGUGCCAGCAGCCGCGGUAAUACAGAGGGUGCAAGCGUUAAUCGGAAUUACUGGGCGUAAAGCGCGCGUAGGUGGUUCGUUAAGUUGAAUGUGAAAGCCCCGGGCUCAACCUGGGAACGGCAUCCAAAACUGGCGAGCUAGAGUAGGGCAGAGGGUGGUGGAAUUUCCUGUGUAGCGGUGAAAUGCGUAGAUAGAGGAAGGAACACCAGUGGCGAAGGCGACCACCUGGGCUCAUACUGACACUGAGGUGCGAAAGCGUGGGGAGCAAACAGG